GACGAAUGCUGGCGGCGUGCUUAACACAUGCAAGUCGAACGAAGUGGCGAACGGGUGAGUAACGCGUAAUCAACCUGCCCUUCAGAGGGGGACAACAGGUGGAAACGACUGCUAAAACCGCAUAGUGAAGGAGGGGCGUGCGUCUGAUUUGCUAGUUGGCGGGGUAACGGCCCACCAAGGCGAUGGUCAGUAGCCGGUCUGGAAGGAUGAACGGCCACAUUGGGACUGAGACACGGCCCAGACUCCUACGGGAGGCAGCAGUGGGGAAUCUUCCGCAAUGGACGAAAGUCUGACGGAGCAACGCCGCGUGAGUGAUGACGGCCUUCGGGUUGUAAAGCUCUGUUAAUCGGGACGCGGUACCGGAAUAGAAAGCCACGGCUAACUACGUGCCAGCAGCCGCGGUAAUUC
rnacentral:rRNA from 1 species